rnacentral:misc_RNA from 1 species
AUUUAGUUGCCUUCCGCUCGUGAAUAGUUCACAGUUAUUUUAAAAAAUGAUUACCGAUUUAUGGGUAAGGGGGAAUAUUAUUACUCAGAUAGCAGCACAGCACACAUUGGAUAAAUAUAAACAUCUUUUAAAAUGGAAAAAUAAUGAAACCAUUCUCGAGUUUGGUGCGGCUGAUGGAAAAACUUCAGUCAACGCAGUUCUACCAGCCUUGCCAAAGGACUACAAAGAGUAUGUUCUCACUGAUGUAUCACAUGGUAUGGUAGAAUAUAUGAAGAAAAAUCUAAACAUACCCAGAAGUAAGAUCAUGCAACAUGAUAUUGCUACAGUUAAGCUUCAAGACGAAUUUAAAAACAAGUUUGACCACAUUUUUGGUAUAUGGGUGAUGCAUAUGGUACCAAACCCCAGACAAGGCUUCAUUAACAUCAACAAAAUGCUUAAACCAGGAGGUCAAGCGUUUGUAUCAUUCGGAGAAGUGACACCAACGGAUCCCGCUUUCCAUAACCUACUCAAGAAUCCCAAAUGGUCAAGGUAUGGACAUAUGCUAUCUCCUCAUUACUACAGCGACAACAUAGAAGAAUCUUAUAAAAAAGAUAUUAAUGCUGCAGGAUUCAAAUCCUACCAAUUCCAUGUCGAAAAGGAUUACCAAGCAUUUUUUGAAAGUCGGGAGAGAUUAAUGACGAAUUAAUGUUAAAUUAAAUUUUCUUCCAUCGCAUUUUAGUCCAGGGUAAUAAGGAUUUUUUCAGGACACUCAAAGAUCCAGCUCAUUUCACGGCAAUCAAUAAUGUAUUACCAAGGAUACCCGAAGACCUUAAGGAUGAAUACUUAAGAGAUUACUACAAAGA